AUUGAACGCUGGCGGCAUGCCUUACACAUGCAAGUCGAACGGCAGCGGGGACUUCGGUCCGCCGGCGAGUGGCGAACGGGUGAGUAAUGUAUCGGAACGUACCAUUGAGUGGGGGAUAACGUAGCGAAAGUUACGCUAAUACCGCAUAUUCUCUCCGGAGGAAAGCAGGGGACCGCAAGGCCUUGCGCUCUUUGAGCGGCCGAUAUCGGAUUAGCUAGUUGGUGAGGUAAAGGCUCACCAAGGCGACGAUCUGUAGCGGGUCUGAGAGGAUGAUCCGCCACACUGGAACUGAGACACGGUCCAGACUCCUACGGGAGGCAGCAGUGGGGAAUUUUGGACAAUGGGGGCAACCCUGAUCCAGCCAUGCCGCGUGAGUGAAGAAGGCCUUCGGGUUGUAAAGCUCUUUCGGCCGGGAAAAAAUCGCAUGGGCUAAUAUCCUGUGUGGAUGAUGGUACCGGAAUAAGAAGCACCGGCUAACUACGUGCCAGCCGCCGCGGUAAAAC
rnacentral:rRNA from 1 species